UGUUGCUAUGAGACUUCCUGGGCCACAACAGAUGGCCACAAGAACAGUUCUCAGGCCUGAGCUCCGAGCUCUGAGGCCUCCACUCAGGCAUACCAUUAACAUUCCUGAAAUACCUUCGGAGGCAAUGCAGGCCAGCCACCUUCAGACGGCUCACCCGCAGCUGGCCUCCCUGGUCAAGGGGCCAGGGUUGAAAUUUGUUAUAAAUGAAAUGAUCGGGUCUUUCCAGGAAAAAGCCAGAGGUGAGAGGAUGCUGUUCUCAAUUUAGGCUUCAGGAAAACUUUACCAGCAACCCACUGGAGUUUUGAGUUGUUCAGAUGUGGAAACUGAGGCUUCGAGAAAUUAAGUAACUUGUUGAAGAUUUUACAGCCAGCAAGCAGCAGAUCUGGAAUGCACACCCAAGCAAUCUGACUGCAGAGCCCACGCUUUGAACCACCACCCUCUGAGAUAAAGGCUUUGAAUUCACCAGCUUUGUGAUUGCAGGCAAAUUAUUCAGCUUUUCCAAGCGUCAGUUUUCUAUCCUCUGAAAUGGGUACCUAUCUGAUGUGAGGACUGAAGGUGAUGCUAUGAAAAAGCACUUAGCAUAGUGCUUGGUCUACAGGAAGAACUCCAGUGUUACCCAGUCGUGGUGGUAUGGGCUGGAUGAUCGCUCUUCCUACCUUCAUCAUGACCUGAGGUUCUACUAGAAGAAGUAAUUCAAAUCUUAUAUCACCAUCUAUUAGAAGGCCUACCAGAAGCCACCAUGAUUAUUCUUCAUAGCAGGAAACAGAGCAGCCCUUUUCAGAGGCCAAUCUAUCACCACAGUCAUGUUGAAACACAUCAGGAGUGUGGAUUCUGCCAUUAGUACUCAACAGAUCAAUGCCCAGUGUUCCCAAACUAGGCUCCUGGGUUCCAAUGCCAAGGUGAGUUCAAAACCUUCAGCACUCUCUGGAAACAAGGAAUGGCCCCGUGGUUCUGAACCUGUCUACCCAUCUGUUUGACACAUCACCCCAUGUUUGAGAUGACUGCUUAAUUUACUCAAAUCUGGAUCCACAAGGAAUGAGCCUAUGCCUAGAGUUGGCCAAUAAUAAUAGAAAUAAUAGCAGCAACAUCUCUUUUUACCUCAGAGUAGUUCAUCUAAUCUUUCCAAUCACUUUGUAAAGUAUGUUGGAUUGCCCAAAUAUGAUUGCCAAAAAUUGAAUAUAUUCAAAAUGUACAAUGUGAUGAUUUGAUAUUUGUAUACACUGCAUCAUGAUUACCACAAUAAAAAAUCAAAUUAAUCAACACACAAUUACCUGUGUGGGG